rnacentral:lncRNA from 1 species
GAACUUGAGUAGUGCACCUAAAACUCAGGCGGUGCCCUGUUGUGGUGGAGGUAUUAGUACUCUGAGAAAGUCAUGCGACUGGAUGCACACUACACUUUUAUAUUUCCUUGCUUUGACAGUUGCCAUGCUUGAAAAUAUAUAUCAAUUAAUUACAUGUGUAUUAGCUUAAGAUUUAUUUCAUAUCUCUAUUAGAAUCUCAUGUCAUAUAAUUCAUGAUGUUUGUGGGUAACAUUCCUGAAAACCCUCACGAGACAACACUCGUCCACUAGGGUAACCUAGGGGUUUAACGGCUUGUUGCACAUGCUAAGUGCAAUCGUGAUUCCUACGAAAGUGAGUAC